AGUCCAGGCCGCCUGCGAGCCGCCGGACGCUCGAGGGGCGCGACCUUGGCGGGCGGCGCCGUGGCCGGCCCCCGGGGGGUCGAGUCGGCCGUGCCAGGCUGCGGCGAUCUCGCGGCGCCACCGUCGGGGCCGGGCCCGCGCCCCCCGCAGCGCCUCUUCCUUCCCGGCGCACGGGAACCUUUGGAGCAGGGGUCGGGCGCCGCGAAGAGGGACAGGAGAAGGCUGUUCGAGAGCCCUGGUCUGGGAGUCGGGAGACCCGGGUUCCGUUUAUUCCUACCCUUCCUGAAGAGAAGUUUCCAGAAGACAAACCAGUGUCGCUUGUGUUCCUAACAGCUUAUCUCUGGGUCAUUGUGAUCCAUCUCCAUUAUUGCAAAGAGGAUAAAAUCAAGAUUCUACAAUGCAAGUCCCUUGUUCUACACAGAGGACAUCGUCCUUCAUGAUUUUUUUUUUCCAGGCAAAAAGACCAAGCCUGAUGCAACAAACAGUGUUAAGUGACUUGUGGAAGAUGUCAAGGGUCAAGGAAGCUGGUCAGCAGGGGUUUCUAUUUGGAGAAGGCGAAGCUGCAUGCUAGGCAAGGAGGAGGGGCUUCCUGCAGGAAUGCGUGAGAGGACAGUACAUGGACACACACACACAGAACUUUCCCAGGACAGUGUUACUGUGACCACAGUCAUCUCUGAGAAAGUACCUUGUAAAUAUCAUGAAUCCGAGAGACAUUUUCCUGUAAACCUGCACCCAAUGGACAGAUGUUCCUUUACUGUGUUACAAGCAGCACGAGUGCCUGCCGGAUUUCACUGCAAUGAACUGUCAGAGACUUAACACGAAGAAGAAACCUUCAAAGUGUAGUGAAUGUGGGAAAUUCUUUACUCAGAGAUCAUCUCUAACUCAGCACCAGAGGAUUCACACAGGAGAGAAGCCCUAUGUGUGUAGCGAAUGCGGAACUUGUUUCCGUAAACAGUCAAAUCUUACUCAGCAUUUGAGGAUUCACACAGGAGAGAAACCUUAUAAAUGUAAUGAAUGUGAGAAAGCCUUUCAAACAAAAGCAAUCCUCAUUCAGCAUCUGAGAAUUCAUACUGGAGAGAAACCCUAUAAAUGCUCUGAAUGUGGCAAAGCUUUCUGUCAGAGCCCCUCCCUUAUCAAACACCUGCGUGUUCACACUGGAGAGAAACCUUACAAAUGCCUUGAAUGUGGCAAAGCCUUCAGUCAGAGCAUUUGCCUUACUCGUCAUCAGAGAAGUCACUCUGGAGAUAAACCGUAUAAGUGUAAUGAGUGUGGGAAAGCCUUUAAUCAGAGUGCAUGCCUCAUGCAGCACCAGAGAAUUCACUCAGGAGAGAAGCCCUACACAUGUACUGAGUGUGGUAAAGCCUUCACUCAGAACUCUUCCCUUGUUGAACAUGCGAGAACUCACACUGGAGAGAAACUUUACAAGUGUAGUGAGUGUGACAAAACUUUCCGCAAGCAAGCACACCUUAGUGAACAUUACAGAAUUCACACUGGAGAAAAACCUUACGAGUGUGUUGGAUGUGGGAAAUCCUUCAGGCACAGUUCUGCACUUGUUCGACAUCAGAGGCUUCAUGGUGGAGACUAAAACUUGGGAUAUAACCCGUGUGGAAAGAUUUGUAUUAAAAUGCCACACCCUCACCCCCAAAUUCUUAGGAGUUGAAGACUAAGUCUUCAGCUGGGAUGAAUGUUCGAUAUGUUGAACAAGACGCAAUGUGUCCUGAAAGUAAGAAAGUAGACUCAUAGUCUUGAGUUUGAUGCCUUCUCUGCCACUUAAUGGGUGUGUGAACUGAUCCUCUCUGAGCCUGUUUGCCCCAUCCUCCUCAAAAGAAUAAUGACAAUAUUUAUCUUGAGAAUAGAAUGAGUUGUAUGUAAUAAAUAACUGCCAUUAAUUGGUUUUGAGUUAUAGGAUAUUCCAAAAGUAUAUAAAUCUGGCUACUGAAAACAAGCAAUGUUUAGCAUUACUUUUGGUUCUUGAUGUAUU